AGUACCCAGGUUCCUUAGCAUGGAACCACUUAAAAUUGACGUAGAGUUUUGCAACAAAUGUGGUUACUUGCAAAAAUUCGAGGAGCUCAAGCACCACAUCGAACAGAAGCACCCUCGGGUGGCAGUUGAAGGGCAUGAGGGACGAAGAGGUUAUGCCGAACCACCCAGAUGAUCAAUCAUAAACUGAUUGUUCAGUAUUCUCGUAGGCUCUUUCGAGGUAACAAUCAAUGGGGAUGUGGUGCAUUCGAAGCUACAGACCCUGGCAUAUCCGGACUACGAAGAUUUGGGGAAUUUAAUUAGGGAUGCGGAGCAGGGAAGACCCUCGAAGCGUCAGUGUAAACAGCAACCGAUCACUUCCUGCUCGAUUUCGUGAGCUCGAAGUUGAAUUUUAGUGUAAAUAGUGCAACUGUGUAAAUAAAUUAGUGAAGAGUAA